GUAUAUAUAUUACACAAAUAUGUAUACAUGUGUAUAAAUAUAUAUAAUUUAUUUUAUAUAUAUAAAAUAUUUCCAGAAGAAUACACAAGAAACAUGAUGCUAUUUGCCUCUGGAGGAAAACUAGGUGUUUGGGGUCAAGAAUAGGAAAGAGACUUAAAAAUGUACUUUUUGCAUUUUGAACUAUGUAACCCUAUAUUUAAAAUGUUAAAAUGAAAAUAUACUUUAAGAGGAAUCUAAAUGAUAAUACUUAAGGUUAAUAAAGAGCCACUUUGAAUUGUUCUGCAGUUUAUUUUCCUAAACAGCAAAGGUCUCAAGACUUUUUUUUUUCUCCCUGGGUUCAUGCCAUUCUUCCGCCUCAGCCACCCGAGCAGCUGGGACUACAGGCACCUGCCACCAUGCCCGGCUAAUUUUUUGUAUUUUUAGUAGAGACAGGGUUUCACCGUGUUAGCCAGGAUGGUCUCAAUCUCCUGACCUUGUGAUCCGCCCACUUCGGCCUUCCAAAGUGUUGGGAUUACAGGCGUGAGCCACCACGCCCGGCCUAGACUUUCUAUAGUCUUUGUUUUGUUGGUCUUUUUUCAAAAGAUAGCAACCAAAGAGUGCAUUCUAGGUUUGUACUACCCUGUUGAAAUGGUAGAUAGAAACAUUUUAAUAGCAAAGCCAAUGCCAUGUAUUUGAUACCAUAUGGAAAAAAAAGGUUGUACCAUCUUUUCUUUCUUUUGUUUUUGAGACAGGGUUUUGUUCUAUCAUCCAGACUGAAAUGCAGUGGCAUGAUCACAGCUCACUGCAGCCUGCUGGGCUCAAGGGAUUCUCCUGCCUCAGACCCCUGUGUAGCUAGGACUGCAGGUGUGCGCCACAAUGCCUGGCUAAUUGUUAAAAUUUUUGGUAGAGACAGGGUCUUACUGUGUUGGCCGGGGCCUAAUGUUGGCCUAGCUCAAGCGAUCCUCCAGUGUAGGUCUCCCAAAGUGCUAAGAUAACAGUGAUGAGCCGCUGCACCUGGCGUCUUCUAAGUCUACUUUGGACAAUGGGCCCUUGCUCUCACAAUUUUCAAGAGACCUCUAUAAUUUGUAUGAGUGAUUGCUACAUCACACUACAAACUGCUUUCCAUUUGUAAUUACUCAGCUUUUAGCUCCUUGGUAUCCACAAGAACGUUAGGUGUAUUUUGGUAGACAAGAAGAUUUGGACUGUAAAUGGGAAAUGAUAGGAAGAUAUACUUUGCAGGAUAUGAAAAAUCUGUCAAAUCACAUUCUUAAGAUAUAACCAGUUUACCUACAUAAAUGUAAUUGUUGAUUGCUAGUUGUGCAACUUACUGUUAUUUGUUAUUUACAAGAUUAAAUUGGUUUCUGCUAAUGUCAAGUGACAAAAAUAUAGAUAGAUAACACUAGCUCUUUGUACCAAAGUACGAAACAUUAGAGAGAACAAAGGCCAGGAGUCGUGGCUGGUACUAACUAGGUCUAGGUUAGAAAUGUAUGGCACUAAUCUGGGAAGGUUUUAUAAAAUGAAAAUAAUAAAGUAGAAUUUUGAAGGCUGAAAGGAGUGGAUUUUUGGAAGGAUUUGUUAGAUUUUCCAGGAAAGUGAUAGAAGUUUUUGCCAAGGUAGAGGAAAAAGUGAAGGCAGCAAGUUAGGAUGGGGAUUUUUGGUAGAGCUUAACACACGGAGGGGAAUGGUUCAGAAUAUGGGAUUUGGAGUCAUUCAGACCUGGAUUUGGGCUUCAGUUUCACUAUUUCCCAGUUAGGUUGCCUUGAGGAAGUAACUGAAAAUAAUCUUUCUGUGUUUUACUUCUAAAAUUUCUAAAAUGGAGAUAAUUAUAGUGGUUACCUCAUAGAGUAGCUGUGAGAAUUAAAUGAAAUUGUACAUGAAAACAUAUAGUCAAGCGCUUUACCCACAGAAGAUACUCAAUAGAUAUGUUACUACUAUUAACAAUAAUUUUUGAGGUGAACCAGUUAAAUCUCAUUCAUUGUUGUAGAUUUGAGGAAUCAAGAGGCAACAUGGUGAUGAAUAAAGAGGACUAUACUCAGAUUCAGAAGAUCUCUCACUUGUUCAGAUCUAUAGAUUGAGUAAAUGAAUGUCUUUUUCACAGCAAUUCAAUUAGAAUGAGGUUCCAAAGAAAGAGGAAGGAAACAGAAAUAACCCUAUAACAGAAAUAUUUCCAAUCUUUGUAAGCUCCUGUUGUGCCGGAUGAACUGAUGUAACUUCUUCACAAUAAAAGUUAGCAAGAUUUAAUGUAGGUAGAAGGAGAGGGAAAAGCCAAAGAUUUAUGGGGAGUUUAAAAGCCUGGAAACGAGAGUCUUUUGGUUCUCUUGUCUCUGUUAGGAAAGUUAGGGAAGAUGUUUUGGAUAUGUAUAGUUUUGGAUUACUGGAUCACAUCCAAGUAUAUAUAUUGUAUGGACAAGAAGACAUGAAAGGCCGAGGAAAGCAAAAGAGAAAAGGGAUACUGUUGGGAUAUGAUUCUUAAACAUUCCAAGACUGUCUUUUCAGUGACCUCCCUGUUUAUGGAAUUGAGAUAAUUUACUCCUGACAUCUGAUAUAUGUAUACUCUAUUUUGAAGUAUUUUGCUCUCUUAAAUUCUUAGUAUAAAGCAAAAGCUUUCAGAAACCUGUACAGUGUUCUAUUAUCUGUCAGUCUUGUGGUACUCAUUUCUGGGCUUUGAGGAGCACUAUGGACAGUGGGCCAUUCAGAUGCCUCUUUGUAAAUAUGGGUAUCAGCAGAGAGAUUUUUAAAAAUGUUUUUCAUGUUCACAGACCUGUCUUCUUUUUUUUAAAUAUCUUAAAUAGUAAAUAGUGAAGAUUAAUAAUUGUGACUUGUCUAGCAUUAUGGUGAUAUUUAAACUGUUUUCCAGAAGAUUUUUCUGUAGAUGGAAACAACUUUGGAAUAAAGGAGGAAUUUUUUUCAGGAUGGAGUUUUUUAUUUUUCAUUUUUUAGCACACUGGAAAUGUGUCCAUUGUGUUUUAGAUGCCACUUACAAUGAAUUUAUUUAAUAGUGUUCUUCUGGUCAGAUGUAAAUAAUGCUGUCCUGCGUAUGCUGGCCUUUUAGCAAUUGUUUCUUAUGGGCAGUGUGUCACAAAAGGUGUAGUAACAUAUUUUUUUCUGGCCUUUUCUGCUUGGCUUUUAUAUUAUUACUUAUAUAUGCUUCUAGAAGUUUAUUAGUGACUUUUAACACACCUUCCAUCCCUUAGCUAUAGCUAACCCUCUGAGUGAAUUUUUCUCUCUUUCCUUUAAAGAACUGGCCAUUUUUCUUUCUUAACUCCUCGAUCUCCUUGGUACAUUGACUGUAAUUUUAUAACACUAGUAUUCUAUAUCUUUCUAUAUCAAGAAAAUUUUUACUUGAAAACUGUUAGUUUUAAAAUAUGCUAUAUGUCUUUUGGGAAGUCAUAUAUAUGAGUAGGGUGAAGGGCAAAGACUGGAAAUGUUUAUGUUACAGAGUUAUUUCUUCUUUCUUCUUCUUUCCUUUGAACCUCAUUCUAACUGAAUUGCUCAGAAAAGGGCAUUGUAAAGAGAGUCCAGGGUAAGGGUUUGAACCCAGAAUAUUCCUCCUUUGUGAAAUUAUUUGCUUGUUUGAUUUUAAGUCGUUCAGUUUGUUACUUUUAAGUCUCCAUAGAGUCUUACAGCUGUUUGAUUUCUAUUAGUUCAAUUAUUAUAUUACCUAGCAUCUAACUAUAUUGUUCUUUAGAAAUUCUUAAAUUAUUAUGUACUAACACUAGGGCUAACCAUGCGCUAGGGACUAUGAAUAGCCUCUUUGCAUGGAAUUUAUUAUGGUUUGUUUGAUUAUUCCUAUUUUUCACAUGAAGAAAUUAAGGCCCAGAGAGGUUUAAUAAAUUGUCUAAGUCACCUAGUUAUUAAGUAGUAGAGCUUGGACUUGUUACCAAGUUUUAUCUAAAUCCUAAAAAGCCUUAGAUCUUAAACUAUUUGAAUAAUUGGGUAAAUACAGAUAAUUAAAUUUAUUCUUACUGUUGAAAAUUCAAAUAAUUUGUGGCAGUGUUUUUAAAAUCAGACUUAGCUAAUGCUUGGUUCUGUGGGUGUAGGAGAAAUGUUGUAGAUGAUUCUUUUGUUUGUGUUAAUCUAGCACACCCUAGGUACUAUGUUUUUUGUCUUGAACUUGUGAUGUGGUAGGCACCAGAGAAAUGCAUGGCUAGAUUUUUAUGUACGUAACUGUUGCAACAGGACAUUUAUAACCAUUCUACUUUUCUUCCUUUUUGCUAUUUCAUCCCUGGAGUGUUGUCUUACCCCAGUUUAUUCAGUGACAGAGAAGACAGGAAAAGAGUGAAGUCUCUGGAGUAUAGCUCUGCUGGUGUAUGACUUGUUUUGGUCUUGAGCUUGCUUGCAAUGCCUCUAGUACAUAGACCCAGCUUUUGUUCAGAAUGCUGUUGAAUGGGCAGUGCUUACUUUACUGUAGCCAGAAUUGAUUAUCUUGGUUAAAGAAUCAAGGGAGAUUAAGUUGAUCUCUUAACUGUUCUGGAUGUUGGAGUUAAUUUCAGAAACAUGUAGUAAACUGCAGUAUUGGUUUAGAGUGGAACACUUUAGUUAGGAUGUGUAGAGAUAGUUUGACCUCAGUGCUUGUGCUUUUCAGUGAAGCUUUUAUUGUACUGUUAACAAAAAUCUAGAUGAAAAAUUUGAGUAAAAGACUAUAUUUUAUCUGAAAUAUGAGAUGAUUUUAUGAGACAUUUAUAAUUCAGAAAGCAUGGAUUAUAUUGUCUCUCAACCUCUAAUUUUGAAAACUUUCAUUUAUAUCUGUGUAUUUUGAUCAAGUGUCAAUUUGUCUUCUGCCUUCCGAUGAUGAAGUAACUGACCUCCUUAAGAUGGGGUUAGAAAUAUAAGUCAUUUCUUAAAGCAAAAAGUUGCUGUAGCGAGUUUUCCUUGUGCUAGCUCUUCUCUUUCAGGCCAUCUUACUGAAACUAAACAUCAGUUCACUUGACAACUUUACUCAAUUCUAGGCAACAGUGGCUAUGCUCUGGCCUGCAGAGACAGUGAAUCCAUUCUGGCUCUGACACUCAAUUUUAUUGUAA